AGAGAGUUGGCGGAGUGGUCGAACGCGCCGGUCUUGAAAACCGGAGACCUUCACGGGUCCGGGGGUUCGAAUCCCUCACUCUCUG
rnacentral:tRNA from 1 species